GAGGGUAUAGCUCAGUGGUAGAGUGUGUGCUUAGCAUGCUUGAGGUCCUCAAUUCAAUCCUCAGUACCUCCA
rnacentral:tRNA from 1 species